UAUCAUUACCUGAACAUCGUUACCUUAGUGAGAGUUUAUCAUUUGCUCUAAAGUAGUCACUACACAGAGUUGUCGAUAUUGCUAUUUAUGAAAGCGAUGGCACGGAACAAACGGCAACGCAUACGGUUAAAAAUACAUCAAACCAAUUUUUUCACUUCUACUUUCUCAAUCAACACCUACACGGGAUCACCUUUACUUUUAAUUCUUCAGGGAUAGAUAAAAUGAGAACCACGCGUUUACAAAAGUAAGAUCAGAUACAAGAAUGCUAGCAAGUACUAGAAAGAGAGAAACGUCAACAACUUUUACUACUACUACUACUACUGCUACUACUACUACUACUACUACUACUACUACUACUACUACUACUACUACUACUACCACUACUACUACUACUAAAAGCAAUGAGAAAAAUAGCAAUAACAACAACAUCGAAAAUUACCCCAAAGGGAGAAAAUGUAUUAUAUAAACUAAUACAAUAUGUAAUUUAUUUCCGGUAAUAGAUUUUAUCGUCAGGUAUUUAUUACGAUCACGAAUCUAAAUUGUAUUCAGAAUGAAAUAAAGACAAACAUUUAAAACAUAAAACAAGAGAACAAAUAGUAAAAACAGUGAAAAUAUUUUA